rnacentral:rRNA from 1 species
AAAAGUCGUAACAAGGUUUCCGUAGGUGAACUGCGGAAGGAUCAUUAUCGAAUUUCGAGGGGGGGAAGAUGAAGGGGAGACUGUCGCUGGCGUUCGCUGUGCACGUCUUUCUUUUCGUCGACCUUUCUCUUACUCUCACACCUGUGCACACACUGUAGGUCUCUCGAAAGAGGAUCUAUGUUUUCAUCAUCACACACACUGUAUGUCUAGAAUGUAUCACGAUCGUCGACCGGCCUUGCGGUCGGGUGGCGGUCAAAUGAAUAAAUACAACUUUCAGCAACGGAUCUCUUGGCUCUCGCAUCGAUGAAGAACGCAGCGAAUUGCGAUAAGUAAUGUGAAUUGCAGAUUUUCAGUGAAUCAUCGAAUCUUUGAACGCACCUUGCGCUCCUUGGUAUUCCGAGGAGCAUGCCUGUUUGAGUGUCAUGUAAUUCUCAACCAUGUCUCGAUUGAUUUCGAGGCAUGGCUUGGACUUGGGGGCUGCUGGUGGCGAAAGCUGUCAGCUCUCCUGAAAUGCAUUAGCAACGGACAGCAAUGUCUGACGUGCACGGCCUUGACGUGAUAAUGAUCGUCGUCGCUGGAGCGUCGGACGUGCACACGAGUCCGUUUGCUUCGAAUCCUAUUGACUUGAGACUUGGACAUUUCGAGAGAAGCGUCAGCUACUAGUCGGUCAUGAGGCCGGCGAACGUGGGCUUGCUCCGGAGGUCAGAGUCCCUCGUCUUUUUCAUGACUUGACCUCAAAUCAGGUAGGACUACCCGCUGAAC